GGUCGAAUUUAGCUUGGUUCAACGAUCGAAAGCUACCAUAAGACUCUUGGGAAGAUUCUUUGCAAUAUAGGUGGAGCGGAUUUUCGAUUUGAGAAGUUUGUGAAACAUUCCAAAACUAGGGGUCUCGUUUUGUUUGGAUUUGAGCAGGAAUCUCGAGGAGCCGGUUAUCCAGGUGAUCGAACUUAGAUAGCUCCAGGGCGGGAUAGUUUUGUAAGUGGUACAGAACGAUUAUGUUUUUAGUUUUUAUGUUUAAUAUAUUUUGUUCAGGUUUGUAAUAUAAAGAAAGAGGCUGUAAUUAUUAUGGAUCAGCAUAUGUAAAUAUAGAACUCUAGUAUAUUAUGUUCGAGAUUAUUUUUAUUU